rnacentral:lncRNA from 1 species
GUUGGAACAAAGAACAUACUGAAAUUGUUAAAGCAUUAAAAGAAGAAUGUAAAAAUUUACCAAAAUUAAGAUUACCAGAUGAAAAAGAUAAUUUAAUUGUUAACACUGAUGCCUCGGAUAAAUAUUGGGCAGCUAUAUUAAAAACAGAUUUAAAUGAAAUAUGCAGAUAUUCAAGUGGAACUUUUAACCAAGCAGAAAUAAAUUAUACUACCCAUGAGAAAGAAUUGUUAGCAAUAAUUAGAGGAAUAAAAAAGUUUUCAUUAUUCCUUCUGUCCAAAAAAUUUAUUGUUGAAACUGAUAAUUCUCAAGUUGCAGGGCUUAUUAGAAAUAAGUUACCUAUGGAACCUCAAUAUAGAAGGUUACACAGAUGGCAAGCAUACUUAUCAUUCUAUAAUUUUGAUAUUAUUCAUAUUAAAGGAAUAAAUAACUAUCUUGCAGAUUUUUUGAGCAGGAACAUCGAAUUUGGAGAUGGAUAAUAUCAAAAAUUCAUUAAUAGACGUCAACAGACGAAUGAAAUUCCUCAUGGAAGAAUCUGAAGAUAUGAAAAUUGGAAUUGAGCAAUUAGAAGAAAUGGCAGAAUCUAUCCAACAAAAUGUCAAAUUGUUGGUGGAAAUCUCUAAUUCUCAUUCCAAAUAUACCAAAGAAUUGAAUGACAGAAUUGUUGAUAUUACUUCACAAUUUGAGUCAUUAGAUACCAAACAGGAAAUACCAAUUGAUACAAUCUCAAAAAUACAAACAGGUACACAGCCAGGAAGCAGCAGUGGACCCAGCAAUAUCAAACGAGAUAUAGUAAGUCCCCGGAAGGUGACUAUAAAAAAUGGUGAUGAGCAUACAAGAGUUAUAAGAAUCAAAACUGAUGAAGAUGAUGAUACCCCUUUGUCAUCAAAAGAAGAAGAAUAUAGAUCAUUUGCCAAAAUUGUUUAUGAAUUGGAAGAAAAUGAAUCUUAUUUUAUUUCAUCAGGGGAUCAUGUUUAUCCCAGAUUAAUAAUUACCAAAGAUGCAGACCCUUUCAUGGUCAAAAUGACAGCAGAUUAUGGAUUUCUGGAUUUGAUCUAUCCAGGAAAAGAUUUAAAAGAAAUUGAAAAAUUUGAUGAUAUAUUCAGGGCAGAAGUUUCAAAAUUUGCCCAAGGGAGAUCGAUUUAUAUCAAAUUUUAUUCAAUAAGUCCUGAAAUUGAUGGAAGGAUAUACUAUCCUGCUGAACAUAUUAUUACAAUUGGAUAUGUUGGCCGAGAUUUCCAGAUUGAAG